rnacentral:rRNA from 1 species
UAGGGAAUAUUAGUAAUGGGCGAAAGCCUGAACUAGCAACACCUCGUGUGCGAAGAAUGCCUUCGGGUUGUAAAGCACUUUUUGAGAGGAUGAGGAAGGACGGUACUCUCAGAAUAAGUCUCGGCUAACUACGUGCCAGCAGCCGCGGUAACACGUAGGAGGCAAACGUUAUCCGGAUUUACUGGGCGUAAAGCGCGUGUAGGUGGUUUGGUAAGUAGAGCGUGAAAGCUCCUGGCUCAACUGGGAGAGGUCGUUCUAAACUGCCGGACUAGAGGAUGGUAGAGGGAGGGGGAAUUCCGGGUGUAGCGGUGGAAUGCGAAGAUAUCCGGAGGAAAACCAGUGGCGAAAGCGGCAUCCUGGACCACUCCUGAGACUCAGACGCGAAAGCUAGGGUAGCAAACG